UUCAUGGUGGGAAAGGAUGUGAUGGUUUCAUCAGUUUGAUCUGUAUUAUACUAUUAAUAAAGUCCUUUCUUUCUUUCUUUCUUUCUUUCUUUCUUUCUUUCUUUCUUUCUUUCUUUCUUUUUGCAGAGAGUGAGAUUAAGUUACACGUCUAUGAGGAGAUACCAGCGGACAGACCUCCUCCUACGAACGGUGUCCAACUCUCUGCAGGACAAACAGCUGUUUACUACAGCCUGGUCUCUACAGGAGGAUCGAACCAAAACGACCUGACGUACGCCAACAUCAGUGAGCUGCCAGCGCCAGGACACAAGAGCGUGUCCCCAUAUUGUCUGGUUGGUGCCCAAGCUGUUAGUGGACGAGGUAACGAAGGGCUGUCGCCAUCGAACCCGUACUCUUUACUGCAGAAACCUACAGCAGCUGAACUCUGACCUUAGGAGGAGUUCAUCUGGAGAAAAAACUUUAUUUAUGGAUGUAAAUACAACCCAUUCUUUAUCUGUGUGUCAUCAGCGUGUUCCUCUUUGUUCACAGAUGAAUUUUCACAUUAAAAGUCUGAAGUUUUUUGAUGAUAAUCUCACCCUCUGUACGAUCAGUAAUCGCAAAAAUCCCAUAAUGUACAAAAAUUUGAUUUGACUCCUUCAAUACGUGACUGCUGUUAGUUUAUUUAAAGGUAAAACUGCAUCAUGAGCUACACUGUAAACGACCUGUGGUAAUGUUUUACUAUAGCAGAUGUUCCUGAGUUUGUACGAUAAUUUUCCUCAAAAUGCGACAAAUUUUAGCUUCUGGUACGAUAAUUUGUGGCAACACUGCUCCAGAUAAACAUUCAAACUCAAAAUACAAAGUAGUAAAGUUGUUCUGGUUGUUGAGGUUCAUUUGUCAUUUUACAAUAAAUAAUAAUAAGUGUGUUAAAUAAUAGUUUUAUUUGUUAUUGUUAUAAAUCUUAUUUUAUUUAUAAAGUACAUUUAGAGAUGGAUGUUGACCAAAGAGCUGUUUUAUUUUACACUUUAUUAAAUAAACUGUUCAAUGUUUGACCGACUGAA